GGUUGAUCCUGCCAGUAGUCAUAUGCUUGUCUCAAAGAUUAAGCCAUGCAUGUCUAAGUACAAGCCUUAUUAAGGUGAAACCGCGAAUGGCUCAUUAAAUCAGCUAUGAUUUAUUAGAUGUUGAACCGUAUCUACAUGGAUAACUGUGGUAAUUCUAGAGCUAAUACAUGCCCAAAAGCUUCAACCUGGAAACGGGAAGAAGCGCAUUUAUUAGACCAAGACCAAUGGAUUUAGCCACUUUAGUGGGGCGAUCCUUUGCUGAUGGUGACUCUGGAUAACUGUAGCUGAUCGC
rnacentral:rRNA from 1 species